rnacentral:rRNA from 1 species
CACGGGGGGAGCAAGCGUUGUUCGGAAUCACUGGGCGUAAAGGGUGUCUAGGCGGUCAGGUAAGUGAGAUGUGAAAUGCCCCGGCUUACCCGGGGACCUGCAUCUCAUACUGCCUGGCUUGAGUAUGGGAGAGGAUGAGGGAAUUCCUGGUGUAGCGGUGAAAUGCGUAGAUAUCAGGAGGAACACCAAUGGCGAAGGCAGCUCACUGGGACGGUACUGACGCUGAGACGCGAAAGCGUGGGGAGCAAACAGG